GACCCAAUGGCACAACGGUUGGAGCACUUGCUUUAGUUAGUCAAGAAAGUCCACUGUUAGACAAGAGGUCCCCGUUCAAUUCGGGGUUGGGUCA